rnacentral:rRNA from 1 species
UACAGAGGUCUCAAGCGUUGUUCGGAUUUAUUGGGCGUAAAGGGCGCGUAGGCGGCGGGGUAAGUCGGGUGUGAAAUCUCAGGGCUCAACCCUGAAACUGCACUUGAUACUGCUCUGCUUGAGGACUGGAGAGGAGACUGGAAUUCACGGUGUAGCAGUGAAAUGCGUAGAUAUCGUGAGGAAGACCAGUGGCGAAGGCGGGUCUCUGGACAGUUCCUGACGCUGAGGCGCGAAGGCCAGGGGAGCAAACGGG